UUGCACGCUGGCGGCAGGCCUAACACAUGCCAGUCGAACGGUAACAGGAAGCAGCUUGCUGCUUCGCUGACGAGUGGCGGACGGGUGAGUAAUGUCUGGGAAGCUGCCUGAUGGAGGGGGAUAACUACUGGAAACGGUAGCUAAUACCGCAUAAUGUCGCAAGACCAAAGAGGGGGACCUUCGGGCCUCUUGCCAUCGGAUGUGCCCAGAUGGGAUUAGCUUGUUGGUGGGGUAACGGCUCACCAAGGCGACGAUCCCUAGCUGGUCUGAGAGGAUGACCAGCCACACUGGGACUGAGACACGGUCCAGACUCCUACGGGAGGCAGCAGUGGGGAAUAUUGCACAAUGGGCGCAAGCCUGAUGCAGCCAUGCCGCGUGUAUGAAGAAGGCCUUCGGGUUGUAAAGUACUUUCAGCGGGGAGGAAGGGAGUAAAGUUAAUACCUUUGCUCAUUGACGUUACCCGCAGAAGAAGCACCGGCUAACUCCGUG
rnacentral:rRNA from 1 species